rnacentral:RNase_P_RNA from 1 species
CGAGUCGUGCGGGCGGUCGCGGCGGAAUCCCUUACGGGGUGAACGUCGAGGAACGUCCGGGCUCCACAGGGCAGGGUGGUGGGUAACGCCCACCCGGGGUGACCCGCGGGAAAGUGCCACAGAAAACAGACCGCCGGGGGCCUCACCGCCCCCGGUAAGGGUGAAACGGUGGUGUAAGAGACCACCAGCGCCCAGGGUGACCUGGGCGGCUCGGUAAACCCCACCCGGAGCAAGGUCAAGAGGGGCCGUCGCCCUACUGGGACGGCGGCCCUGCGCGGAUGUCCGAGGGCGGCCCGCCCGAGUCCGCGGGUAGACCGCACGAGGCCGGUGGCGACACCGGUCCCAGAUGGAUGGCCGCCUCCCGGCGGGCCGCGAGGCCCACCGGAGACAGAACCCGGCGUACAGCACGGCUCGUCUG